GUUGGAGUUCAGUUUGAGUUAAAACGAUGUCCUAUUUCUAUACAUCAUCAUAUAUAUUUCUUUGUGUUUUCACUGUUGGCAACAACAUGGGACCGAACUGUAUAUUAAUCACUGAUGGAGAUUUCUUUACUAAAGAACCUCUAAAUAUUUCAUAUCACGUUGGAGAAAAUCUCACUCUUCACAUGCCAGACAUUUUAAAAAAAUAUUCUUCCAUAAGUCUCAGAAGAAACAACACAGAAUCAAAAUAUGUUGCCUUCUGCCGAGAUCAACACCCCAUCUCUCCAGAAGAGCAGGAUCUACAGUUUAAGGACCGAGUGGAGACGACGGCCUGCAACGAGACGUCUGGAAACUGGAGCGUGACUUUAUUGAAUCUGACCGAAAACGAUACUGGAGCAUACAUCUUAAAAGGAAAAGGAAAUUCUUCUGAACUUCACAUUUUCCUUGAUAUGACAGAUACACAGGAGAACAACCAUUCAACCACUAUGUCAACCCGAUAUAUUGUAGCUAUUAUUUUUUGUAUUAUUAUUCUUAUUAUUAUUGUCAGUCAGUCAGUCAUUUUCUACCGCUUAUUCCAUAGUGGGUCGCGGGGGAGCUGGUGCCUAUCUCCAGCAGUCUAUGGGCG